UAUUGGGCGGAAUUGUCUGAGCUACGACUACGACCAGCAGAUACACUGCGAGUCGCGCUUUGGACUAGGGCCAAUGAACGUGGUUCACGUUUCAACGACCUGCUUUUAAAAGUGAACAGGAGUUGAGCUAAGAACUGCUUCUUCCGUUUCAUAAAUUCUACAACGUCCAGGGAGUCGUCAACGGAGGACGAGUGCAGUCCAAUUGCAUUUGCGGCAACGGCAUUGGGUUUCCACUUUUGCAUCCUGAGAUCCGGAUUAGACUGCCAUGGACGCUGCUGAACGGUGUAAACUUGGAAAUCGCGAGGAUCAGAUGAGGAGACACGGGACAUGGAUGAACUGCGAUCGUGGUAACUACUUCGACUGGGUUGCGCAAGCCUAAUGGGUGACAACUCCUUUGUUAAGUGGCAAUAACAUAGCAAUCGUAUUGCUCUUAAAAUCCUACAAAAUAUAAACACAGAACCAA